CGGGACGUAGCUCAGCUUGGUAGAGCACCUGGUUUGGGACCAGGGGUCGCAGGUUCGAAUCCUGUCGUCCCGA
rnacentral:tRNA from 1 species